rnacentral:rRNA from 1 species
AUUGAACGCUGGUGGCAUGCCUAACACAUGCAAGUCGAACGGCAGCGCGGGUAGCAAUACUUGGCGGCGAGUGGCGGACGGGUGAGGAAUGCAUCGGAAUCUGCCCAGUUGUGGGGGAUAACUGGCCGAAAGGCCAGCUAAUACCGCAUACGACCGAGAGGUGAAAGCGGGGGACCUUCGGGCCUCGCGCGAUUGGAUGAGCCGAUGCCGGAUUAGCUAGUUGGUGGGGUAAAGGCCUACCAAGGCGACGAUCCGUAGCUGGUCUGAGAGGAUGAUCAGCCACACUGGAACUGAGACACGGUCCAGACUCCUACGGGAGGCAGCAGUGGGGAAUAUUGGACAAUGGGCGCAAGCCUGAUCCAGCAAUGUCGCGUGUGUGAAGAAGGCC